rnacentral:rRNA from 1 species
AGCAUACAAGGCAUACGGCUCAGUAACGCGUAGUCAACCUAACCUAUGGACGGGAAUAACCUCGGGAAACUGAGAAUAAUGCCCGAUAGAACAUUAUGCCUGGAAUGGUUUAUGUUCCAAAUGAUUUAUCGCCGUAGGAUGGGACUGCGGCCUAUCAGUUUGUUGGUGAGGUAAUGGCCCACCAAGACUAUUACAGGUACGGGCUCUGAGAGGAGUAGCCCGGAGAUGGGUACUGAGACACGGACCCAGGCCCUAUGGGGCGCAGCAGGCGAGAAAACUUUGCAAUGUGCGAAAGCACGACAAGGUUAAUCCGAGUGGUUUCUGCUAAAGAAACCUUUUGUCAGUCCUAGAAACACUGAUGAAUAAGGGGUGGGCAAGUUCUGGUGUCAGCCGCCGCGGUAAAACCAGCACCUCAAGUGGUCAGGAUGAUUAUUGGGCCUAAAGCAUCCGUAGCCGGCUCUGUAAGUUUUCGGUUAAAUCUGUACGCUCAACGUACAGGCUGCCGGGAAUACUGCAGAGCUAGGGAGUGGGAGAGGUAGACGGUACUCGGUAGGAAGGGGUAAAAUCCUUUGAUCUAUUGAUGACCACCUGUGGCGAAGGCGGUCUACCAGAACACGUCCGACGGUGAGGGAUGAAAGCUGGGGGAGCAAACCGGAUUAGAUACCCGGGUAGUCCCAGCUGUAAACUAUGCAAACUCAGUGAUGCAUUGGCUUGUGGCCAAUGCAGUGCUGCAGGGAAGCCGUUAAGUUUGCCGCCUGGGAAGUACGUACGCAAGUAUGAAACUUAAAGGAAUUGGCGGGGGAGCACCACAAGGGGUGAAGCCUGCGGUUCAAUUGGAUUCAACGCCGGA